rnacentral:rRNA from 1 species
AAAUAAAAAAAAUUGACGGGGGGCCCCGCACAAGCGGGGGGAGCAUGNGGUUUAAUUUGAUGCAACGCGAAGAACCUUUCCUUACUCUUGACAUCUACAGAAGCCAGCGGAGACGCAGGUGUGCCUUCGGGGAACUGUAAGACAGGUGCUGCAUGGCUGUCGUCAGCUCGUGUUGUGAAAUGUUGGGUUAAGUCCCGCAACGAGCGCAACCCUUAUCCUUGUUUGCCAGCACUUCGGGUGGGAACUCCAGGGAGACUGCCGGUGAUAAACCGGAGGAAGGUGGGGACGACGUCAAGUCAUCAUGGCCCUUACGAGUAGGGCUACACACGUGCUACAAUGGCGCAUACAGAGGGCGGCCAACUUGCGAAAGUGAGCGAAUCCCAAAAAGUGCGUCGUAGUCCGGAUUGGAGUCUGCAACUCGACUCCAUGAAGUCGGAAUCGCUAGUAAUCGUGGAUCAGAAUGCCACGGUGAAUACGUUCCCGGGCCUUGUACACACCGCCCGCCACACCAUGGGAGUGGGCUGCAAAAGAAGUGGGUAGUUUAACCUUCGGGAGGACGCUCACCACUUUGUGGUUCAUGACUGGGGUGAAGUCGUAACAAGGUAACCG